rnacentral:rRNA from 1 species
UACAGAGGGGCAAGCGUUAUUCGGAAUUAUUGGCGUAAAGGGCUCGUAGGCGGCCAACUAAGUCAGACGUGAAAUCCCCAGGCCUUAACCUGGGAACUGCGUCUGAUACUGGAUGGCUUGAAUCGGGAGAGGGAUGCAGAAUUCCAGGUGUAGCGGUGAAAUGCGUAGAUAUCUGGAGGAAUACCGGUGGCGAAGGCGGCAUCCUGGACCGAGAUUGACGCUGAUGAGCGAAAGCUAGGGGAGCAAACGGG